rnacentral:lncRNA from 1 species
AUGGUCUCAAAGGAGCCCUUCAUGCUGCCUGGCUCCCCAGCAGGGGCUGCAGCAUCUCUGCUUUUUGGGGGGAAAGCCCAGCUCCAAAAACUGCAGCUUCCAUCAGCUCUCUGUGAAGGGGAUGCACAAACCCCAGGUGCUUGCUGCUGCUGCUGGGGUGGCCGGAGGCGGAUGGGAGGGCUUGGCUGCCCCAUCCAGGAGCUUCUGCAGGGCUUGAGAGGGCUUCCUGCUGCCAGGAUGGCUGGGGAGGAGGCGAGGAAGCAUGGUGGGGGAGUAUGGAGGCAGCUGUUGGUUUGGCCAUGGAGCAGGUUUUUAGGGAAAUUGACUCCAACAGCAACAGGAGCAUCUCGCCCAUCAGCCCCUCUCAAAAGCCUGGCCGGUUUGGCACCGCUGUGGCCGUUCUGCCCCGUCCCCAGUCUCGUGUCCCUGUGGGGCUGUGUCCCUGAGCACAGCUGGGGCAGUGCUCAGAAGUGCUCAUCCCUCCAGCUGUGCGCCUGCAGGAGGAUGCCCCAAAGAGCCCUGGGGUGCAGAGGAGGGACGUUCCUCCUGCUUUUCCCUGCCUUUAGUGUGCCUGUGAGAUGGCAGAGCCGAAGGAAGAGCCUUUCCUGUGCCAGCUUCUCAGUUUUAGGAGAGCAAGGGGACAGAGGUGGCCCCAGCUGGUGGCAGCACCCAGCCCGGGGUGGGUUUUGCAGGCCUGGGAGUGGGUCACCCCUCUCCUUCCUCUGCAACCUCUUUGUGUUUGGACCUUCCAAAACUAAGCAGGGACCUGGCACAUGUUGCUUUGCCUCUAAAUUUCCCAUUUCCACCCCGUUUUGCCUGGUGGGUGAGUGACAAAGACCACCCAUCUUUGCUCCAUGCAAACCUUGGCUCCUGUUCCCAAGAGUUAUCCAACCUCUGCUGAGAGCCACCAGCACGGAGCCUGUGCCGGGAGCAAACCCAUCAACUAAAAACCAGAACAAUUUUUUUUUUUUUUUCCCUACCACCCUUUUCAUGGUUAUAACAGUUUCUGGGCUUGGAGCUUUCCAGGAGGCUCCGGCAGCUCCCAAAGUGACGUGGGGUUUCCACCACUGGAAUAUUUGUCUGAUUAACCGGUGUCACGGCUGCGCUCAAGGCGGUGGGGAUGUGUGUGGCGUGCGUGUAUGUAUGUAUAUAUAUGUGUAUGUAAUUAAUAUAUAUGUAUAUAUGUAUAUACGUGUGUGUGCAAAGCACGCACGCGUGCACAGCUUCAAUGCAAACUGCACCUCAUGGGGAGGAGGGAGUGCUGGGGGUGCAGGAUUUGACCCUGUGCUCCCGGCUCCUUCCUUCACCCCAGCUAUGGCAGUGAGGGCCGGAUCCUGCCCCCUGGGCUCUGCCAGGGCUGGGGGAAGGAGCCCUUUGCCGCCUGCCCCUUUCCCUGGCCAGAGCUGAAACGGAGCCCGAGGGGGCAGCGAAGCCCCCAAGAAGGGCGGCGAGGCUGCGCUGCUUUGCCCCACGUACCUGUGCCUGCAGCUCCACGGCCGCACCCACGUUCCGGCUCCAUAGAGACAUCUCAGUCUGGAGCACGCAUAGUUUUGGGCUUUGGUUUUUUAUAACAUUUUAUUAUUUUGCUAAAAAAAAAUACUCACCCUAGGAGACGCCCGCGCAAUGCCCAGAUUUAACCCCACACACCUUGCAGACAGCUCCACCGCUGCAUUUCCAAAGACCUCAAGGGUACCAGUGACUCUACGCGUGUCAACCACCCUUUUCUGGGUCCCCCUGGUCUAAGUCAUAAAUGUACAGCCGACAAUCAAACCUGACAGAAAUGCUGACUUUAGAAAAAAUACGUAUCCAUUGCAGUUUGAUAGAACUUUUUAAAAUCACGUGCUUAUCUCUCACUAACGCUCACCACCAUGUUGCCAGGAUAAAUCACCGCCCAUCGGUUCUUCUGUAAAUAAACACGAGACAUUCUUGUAUAAAUUAAAAAGAAAAAAAAAUGAAAAAAAAAAUCCAUUGAUAUAUGUCCAAAAAUAUCCCUUUCCAGAAGAUUUAAAUAAUUCAAAGAAAAAGGAAAACCUAACAAGUGAGCCCCACUUUACUUUUUCUUUGGAGCUGGUUUAAAUUCCCAAUAGGAGAAUGAAAAAUCUUUAACAGUAGAAGAAAACUACGAGUGUUUUACCUUUCAAUGAAUAUGGGAGGGAAAAAAUGCAUGUAAAUAUUUUUAAUAGGAAACAUAUCUUAAACAGAACUUCUUUUUGUAUGUACAUAACUCUUCUAGAGUUUAGUACUUAAAUUGCUUCAUAGUGUCUGUUUAAAAACAAAAAUAAAAUAAAAUGUUUGUUAAUUGUUUUUGUUCUUACUCAAUGGCCAAAACUUUAAAAAUAAUAAAAAAGACUAUAAAAAAUAAUCUUUGCCAACGGAUCUAGCACUGUAAUGGUACUGUCUAUUUUUUUUAAUUAUUUCUGUGCUGUGCCCAUUUAUAAAAGGAAAAAAAAAAAAACAAAGAACAAAAAAUAAAGUCAUUUAAACAUUAUCUGCCCAGGGCUUCGCCUGCUUUCUUGCUGCCGCCCGCCUGCCCCGGCUUUUUGUCGUGCCGAGGGGCUGCGGGUGAAGGGAGAUGUCACUCGCUCUCGGUGUGAUGCUGUCAGGCGAGGGCUGGUGGAUAAUUAAUUAAAGGUCUCCAUGGCAACGCUGUGGGGCUGCUGACGAGCCGGCAGCAGCAGGAGCCAGCGCAGCAGUGCCCAUUGAUGCAGGACCGGGGUGCAGGGGGGCUGUGAGCACUGCGGGUGUCCCCAGCUCUGCCGAGAGCCGGGCCAUCAUGUCCCCAAGGGCCACCACCGUCACCAGCGAGUAGCUGAGCACUGGGAGCUGCUGGGGGUGAGCCCACAGCAAAAGGGUUCCCCAUCCCUGGGGUGUCCUGCCAGGGUCUUCCCACUGUCCCAGGUCCUUGGGGGUGCCUGGCUCGGAGCCCCCUGCUAUUCCCAGCUCUCCUGCUCUGGCCACGUGCCUCUCCGUGAGCAGGAGGUGGAAGGAAGCAUCCUCGCCUGCUGGCCUCAGGUCCCGCUCUCCUUUCCAAAGCAAUUCCUGGAAGCGAACGUGGUGAGAGGUUUGGCAGCGAUGUGCUGGUCUCCAUAAGGAGUCUUGGCUGUGUUUAACCAGCUCUCUUGCGUUGCAGAGGACAGACCUCCACGGGUGCAGCAGCGACGCUGAGAGCCAGGGCAAUGCCACUGCUGGUGCGGGCUGGGGAGCCUGAGGUCCCCAUCGCCCCCAGCCCCUGUGCACUCCUCAGAGCUACUUUUGGUGUCUCAUUGACUCCAGAAGCAUCUCACAUUCAGCAGGGCCACCCAAUCGGGCUGUCAAACCAUCCCCAGACCCAGCAGCAGUGACUUCAGCCAGCUGCUGCUACGAGCUAUGGGAAUAACUGCUCACAGGGAGGUGUCGGUAUUCGGGCUGGAGGCUUGGAACAGGCUCCAAUUAUACCCCCAUUCCUUGUGUUUUGUUUUUUCUCCCCAACAGCUGUAUGGAAAUGUUCCCUUUCUGCAGCACCCUUGCAGCCCCCCAGGAUUUGGGAGGAUGACCCCAAACAGCCCCAGUGGUGUGGGUUUUUUUUUUUUUUUUUUCAGCAAAAUGGUCUCCCUGUGAGUGACCCAUCGUAAAUCUCCAUGAUGAGUUGAGCAUCCAAGAAUAAUAACCUAUCCAGGG